ACGCUGGCGGCAGGCUUACCACAUGUCAGUCGAGCGGGGGAGAUUGCUUCGGUAAUUGACCUAGCGGCGGACGGGUGAGUAAUACUUAGGAAUCUGCCUAUUAAUGGGGAACAACAUCUCGAAAGGGAUGCUAAUACCGCAUACGCCCUACGGGGGAAAGCAGGGGAUCACUUGUGACCUUGCGUUAAUAGAUGAGCCUAAGUCGGAUUAGCUAGUUGGUGGGGUAAAGGCCUACCAAGGCGACGAUCUGUAGCGGGUCUGAGAGGAUGAUCCGCCACACUGGGACUGAGACACGGCCCAGACUCCUACGGGAGUGCAGCAGUGGGGAAUAUUUGGACAAUGGGGGGAACCCUGAUCCACGCCAUGCCGCUGUGUGUGAAGAAGGCCUUAUGGUUGUAAAGCACUUUAAGCGAGGAGGAGGCUCCUAUAGAUAAUACACUAUAGAGAGUGGACGUUACUCGCAGAAUAAGCACCGGCUAACUCUGUGCCAGCAGCCGAAGGUAAUACAGAGGGUGCGAGCGUUAAUCGGAUUUACUGGGCGUAAAGCGUGCGUAGGCGGCUUUUUAAAGUCGG
rnacentral:rRNA from 1 species